UAAAUCCGCCUCUGCUUGGGAGCUGGAUCUUCCUCACUUCCACUUCUACCCCACUCCAAAUCUGCCUCGGGGCAAAGAGGAGGCGCCACUGGUCUCUUCCCGCCUUUCUUCGCCAUUUCAUCUUGAUCCCCCAACAAUCUCCAUUCUUCCCUGGGGGGGGGACAGUUUUGGGACUCGGCUCAGGGGACCAAAUGUCUUGGGCCGGCUCUGCUGACCCCCCUCCAGGAGUAAGUCUGGCCAAGGUGGCUGCUCAGGCAAAUGCAACCCAGGGAGGAUUCCCCCCUGAAGCCUGUGCCCCCUUUUCAUCUUUGCCUCCUUUUCUGAACCUGGACCUGGGAAUUCGGCUGGUGUUUCUCUCCCUCCUCCAUAAGGAAAGCCCUGAGCACUAGCAUUCCCUGGGCGGUUGCCAAAUGAUGAGGGGUGAGCACUCUGCACAUGCCUAGGAGUAAACCAUCUACCAGCUCCUGUUAGAUUCCCUUAGGUGAAACAAAGGGUUUCUAGAGUGAUAGCCCAGUAGGUGCCUCCAGAACUCAUUGGAGGAAGAGCAAAUGGUGACCACCACAGCACUGUCGAAAACAAGGACACAGAUAUCAUUCAAUGGGUCUGUGCUAAUUUAAGGAGGAAGGUACCCCAAAGUCGGAGGAGAUAGGAGAAAAAGGACCGUUUUCACCCCUGCCCAAAUCGAGCUUUUAAAGAAGGAGUUUGAAGAGAACCAGUACCCCGGAUACCAGACUAGGGAGGCGCUGGCGAGGUGCAUCGGAGUCGAAGAAGAUCGUGUGCACAUCUGGUUUCAAAACAGAAGGGCCAGAAC